rnacentral:rRNA from 1 species
AACGCGAAGAACCUUACCCGGGCUUGACAUCCUGCGACAUCCUAGGAGACUAGGUUUUCUAGCAAUAGAACGCAGAGACAGGUGCUGCAUGGCUGUCGUCAGCUCGUGCCGUGAGGUGUUGGGUUAAGUCCCGCAACGAGCGCAACCCUUGCCGUGUGUUGGUCGUAAGAUCUCUCACGCGGGACCGCCGGUGACAAGCCGGAGGAAGGUGGGGAUGACGUCAAGUCAGCAUGGCCCUUACGUCCGGGGCUACACACGUGCUACAAUGGUAGGGACAGCGAGUCGCGAACCCGCGAGGGCAAGCUAAUCUCUUAAACCCUAUCUCAGUUCGGAUUGGAGGCUGCAACUCGCCUCCAUGAAGUCGGAAUCGCUAGUAACCGCAGAUCAGCUACGCUGCGGUGAAUACGUUCCCGGGCCUUGUACACACCGAUAGC